AAGUCAGACGUGAAAGCCUUCUGUUCAACGGAAGAAUUGCAUCUGAAACUACAAACCUUGAGUGUAGGAGGGGAGAAUGGAACUUCUGGUGGAGCGGUGAAAUGCGUAGAUAUCAGAAGGAACGCCGGCGGCGAAGGCGAUUCUCUGGCCUAUUACUGACACUCAGUGUGCGAAAGCUAGGGGAGCAAACGGGAUUAGAUACCCCGGUGGUCCUAGCCGUAAACGAU
rnacentral:rRNA from 1 species